rnacentral:rRNA from 1 species
GAUCCUGGCUUAGGAUGAACGCUAGCGGCAGGCUUAAUACAUGCAAGUCGAACGGGAUCAGGUAGCAAUACUUGAUGAGAGUGGCGCACGGGUGCGUAACACGUAUGCAACCUACCUUUAACUGGUGAAUAGCCCCGGGAAAUCGGGAUUAAUACACCAUAACAUUACAAGAGGGCAUCCUCUAAUAAUUAAAGAACUUCGGUUAAAGAUGGGCAUGCGGGACAUUAGCUAGUUGGUGAGGUAACGGCUCACCAAGGCAACGAUGUCUAGGGGUCCUGAGAGGGUUAUCCCCCACACUGGUACUGAGACACGGACCAGACUCCUACGGGAGGCAGCAGUAAGGAAUAUUGGUCAAUGGGCGCAAGCCUGAACCAGCCAUGCCGCGUGAAAAGGAAGACGGCGCUAUGCGUUGUAAACUUCUUUUGUCAGGGAAUAAAUGUAGGUACGUGUACUUACUUGAAGGUACCUGAAGAAUAAGCAUCGGCUAACUCCGUGCCAGCAGCCGC